rnacentral:rRNA from 1 species
UACGUAGGGGGCUAGCGUUGUCCGGAAUCAUUGGGCGUAAAGCGCGCGUAGGCGGCCAGAUAAGUCCGGUGUGAAAGUCACAGGCUCAACCUGUGAAUGCCGCUGGAAACUGUCUGGCUAGAGUCCGGAAGGGGCGAGUGGAAUUCCUGGUGUAGCGGUGGAAUGCGCAGAUAUCAGGAGGAACACCAAUAGCGAAGGCAGCUCGCUGGGACGGUACUGACGCUAAGGCGCGAAAGCGUGGGGAGCGAACAGG